CAAGCAUGUGACAGAUGUGACAUUAGCAGCACAGCUCAGUGUGCUUGCAGACCAGAUGUCUCUUGGAUGCUCAGAGAUAUUGAACACUGGUUAUUUUCAUGGGAAUGGUAGGUGAUCACACCCACAGUACCAUCCGGACUCUCUGCUGCUCUGGAGCUGCUGGAGUUUCCACUCAGAGAUCCCUCCCUCGCAAUUUAUUGGAAGAACAGACAGAAACAUGAAGGGAAAAAAUCCUUUUACACAUGAAGAUGGUAUCAGCAUCGUAAAAUGAUUUUCACUUUAGCAAAAAAAGAAAACCAAUAGCAAUCCGGUAUUUGGGUGCAUCAGGGAAACAAACAGAACAGUUAACACCGU